rnacentral:rRNA from 1 species
GUACGCGGAGGACAUUACCGAGUUUACAACUCCCAAACCCCUGUGAACAUACCAAUUGUUGCCUCGGCGGAUCAGCCCGCUCCCGGUAAAACGGGACGGCCCGCCAGAGGACCCCUAAACUCUGUUUCUAUAUGUAACUUCUGAGUAAAACCAUAAAUAAAUCAAAACUUUCAACAACGGAUCUCUUGGUUCUGGCAUCGAUGAAGAACGCAGCAAAAUGCGAUAAGUAAUGUGAAUUGCAGAAUUCAGUGAAUCAUCGAAUCUUUGAACGCACAUUGCGCCCGCCAGUAUUCUGGCGGGCAUGCCUGUUCGAGCGUCAUUUCAACCCUCAAGCCCCCGGGUUUGGUGUUGGGGAUCGGCGAGCCCUUGCGGCAAGCCGGCCCCGAAAUCUAGUGGCGGUCUCGCUGCAGCUUCCAUUGCGUAGUAGUAAAACCCUCGCAACUGGUACGCGGCGCGGCCAAGCCGUUAAACCCCCAACUUCUGAAUGUUGACCUCGGAUCAGGUAGGAAUACCCGCUGAACUUAAGCAUAUCAAUAAGCGGAGGAA